rnacentral:rRNA from 1 species
GACGGGUAUCCGGCCUGAGAGGGUGAACGGACACACUGGAACUGAGACACGGUCCAGACUCCUACGGGAGGCAGCAGUAGGGAAUAUUGCUCAAUGGGGGAAACCCUGAAG